ACGCUCGACACCUACGAGGCAGCAGUGGGGAAUAUUGCACAAUGGGGGAAACCCUGAUGCAGCGACGCCGCGUGAGCGAAGAAGUAUUUCGGUAUGUAAAGCUCUAUCAGCAGGGAAGAAACUGACGGUACCUGACUAAGAAGCACCGGCUAAAUACGUGCCAGCAGCCGCGGUAAUCUGAGCGGGCUGGCAAGGC
rnacentral:rRNA from 1 species